rnacentral:rRNA from 1 species
AGGACGAACGCUGGCGGCGUGCUUAACACAUGCAAGUCGAACGGUGAUAUCGGGGCUUGCCCCGGUUGAUCAGUGGCGAACGGGUGAGUAACACGUGAGCAACCUGCCCUUGACUCUGGGAUAACCCCGGGAAACCGGAGCUAAUACCGGAUAUGAACCGCACAGGCAUCUACGCGGUUGGAAAGAUUUAUUGGUCAAGGAUGGGCUCGCGGCCUAUCAGCUUGUUGGUGAGGUAACGGCUCACCAAGGCGACGACGGGUAGCCGGCCUGAGAGGGCGACCGGCCACACUGGGACUGAGACACGGCCCAGACUCCUACGGGAGGCAGCAGUGGGGAAUAUGCACAAUGGGACGAAAGCCUAGAUGCAGCGACGCCGCGUGAGGACCGAAGGCCUUCGGGUAGUAACCUCUUACGAGCGAGGAAGAAGACGAAGUGACGGUACUGCAAGAAGAAG